UCAGUGUCAGUAUCAGUCCAGGUGGUCGCCUUCGCCACUGGUGUUCCUUCCUAUAUCUACGCAUUUCACCGCUACACAGGAAAUUCCACCACCCUCUACCAUACUCUAGCUUGUCAGUUUUGAAUGCAGUUCCCAGGUUGAGCCCGGGGAUUUCACAUCCAACUUAACAAACCACCUACGCGCGCUUUACGCCCAGUAAUUCCGAUUAACGCUUGCACCCUCUGUAUUACCGCGGCUGCUGGCACAGAGUUAGCCGGUGCUUAUUCUGUCGGUAACGUCAAAACAGCAAAGUAUUAAUUUACUGCCCUUCCUCCCAACUUAAAGUGCUUUACAAUCCGAAGACCUUCUUCACACACGCGGCAUGGCUGGAUCAGGCUUUCGCCCAUUGUCCAAUAUUCCCCACUGCUGCCUCCCGUAGGAGUCUGGACCGUGUCUCAGUUCCAGUGUGACUGAUCAUCCUCUCAGACCAGUUACGGAUCGUCGCCUUGGUGAGCCAUUACCUCACCAACUAGCUAAUCCGACCUAGGCUCAUCUGAUAGCGCAAGGCCCGAAGGUCCCCUGCUUUCUCCCGUAGGACGUAUGCGGUAUUAGCGUCCCUUUCGAGACGUUGUCCCCCACUACCAGGCAGAUUCCUAGGCAUUACUCACCCGUCCGCCGCUGAAUCAGAGAGCAAGCUCUCAUCAUCCGCUCGACUUGCAUGUGUUAGGCCUGCCGCCAGCGUUCAAU
rnacentral:rRNA from 1 species